rnacentral:lncRNA from 1 species
AACAAGGGAGGAUCAAAAGAUCUCUUCAAUUUCCCUAAGCAAUCCCUAUGUCAAACAUCAAUCAUACAAAAGUCAACCGAAAAGUCAAGUCAACUUAAAAAAUAUCAAAUAAAUAGUAAAUUAAUUCAAUAAAUUAUGAAAAAAUAAAUUAAAAGAGGUGGGGUCAGGACAUCAUCAUCCCCCAAAAAUAUUUUAAAAAUGAUGUGAAUUAGUGUAUUAAUUAAUUGAAAUAAAACAGAAGUCAAAU